GCGGAUGUGGCGGAAUUGGUAGACGCGCUAUCUUGAGGGGGUAGUAACUUAGGUUGUGGGGGUUCAAGUCCCCCCAUCCGCACCA
rnacentral:tRNA from 5 species